rnacentral:siRNA from 1 species
AGAAGAGUGAUAACUUGUGGAAAC